rnacentral:pre_miRNA from 1 species
AGUCUUCUAAGUCCAUGCCGAGAUUUCUUCAAACACCAAACUAUCAGGACUGAUGAAAUUCUUAAGAUAAAUGAAGCG